GCUGGGAGCUAGAGGAUGUUGCCAGCUGCAAGGAGCCCCCUCCCUCAGACAUGUGCUCUGCUCCUAGGAAUUGUUGACUAC
rnacentral:miRNA from 1 species